UGCGGGGUGGAGCAGUCUGGUUAGCUCGUCGGGCUCAUAACCCGGAGGUCGCAGGUUCGAAUCCUGUCCCCGCUACCA
rnacentral:tRNA from 4 species